GGAGCGGACCGCAGCUCGUGGAGCGGCGCGCAAUACGCAGCGCGGCCUCGUCGCUAGCUCGGCGAGCGCCAUCUGGUGAACGGGCCGCGCACGACGUUCCCACCACCUGGAAACGAACGCCGUGAGUUGCGAGCGGGCGUGUAACUUGUACCGGCGGCAGCCAGGUGAUGCCCUGACGAGCGAAGCGGCACAGACCCAUUCUGGGGAAUUGGCUAAUACUCCGUACAAACCCACUGGCACAUGCCAAGUUGCACAUAGCAGUUGACCCAAGUGGUUGUCUACUGGCAAGACAGCAGCAGUCAGCCUCUUCGAAGUGAUGGGAAGAGGAAAGAAAGCUUCGCUUUAAAAGUGCAUCCAGAUGACGCCGCAAGACUUCGCUCACUCGCACGCGAGCCCACACAGACUGUGUGGAACACGAGUCAAUUUAACAGCGCACGUCUAUACAGAAUGGAUCCACGUCUGCCAUUCCGUGUUCCUCCUUGGAUACCACGAGCGGAAGCAACGCUUCGGAGCCGCAUGUGGCUCGGCGUGGCAUUUCCGAACACCUAUUCCUUCCGCAUUGGAAUGGCCGGCAGCUCAGCCUGCGACAACUGCGGCUGCGAGAAGACGGUCAAGCACCUAUUCUAACGACCCGGGAUGAAAACGACAGCCGGUGUAUACGCAAGGUCUGGACGGCCGGUCGAAGCGUGGCGGGCCUCAGCUCUAGUCGUGAAAGGAGCGGUGAUCUUGGCCCGAAUACGUGGCCGGGUCACCUGGUUUCCACCGCGCCUUCUACUCUAUCAGCUGACUGCUGCUUCCGGUAGUGACGUGCUAUCGGCAAGUAAGGUGUUUUGAAAGCUGCUUGAGCGCUCAGCGCG